UAAUAUUCUUAUUAUCCUUUAUAAUUUUAAAGCCUUAAAAUUGUUUUACAAGUUAUUCAUAAAAAUGCCUUUUCCUAUAAUUAUUUGGAUGUUCCUUGACCAUUUUUAUUAUUAUUAUUAUUAUUUUAAAUUAACACAUCAUUCUUACACAUUCAAAACAUACUGCACGAGCAAAUACAAUUAAAACCAUUGGGAAAACUACAUUUGGACAUGUGGAAACGCACACAGCUGCCGACGAACAGACGCCCACGGGGCGCAUUCACACACGGUACCGAGCGCUGUCUAGUCUGCACGGCAUGACGCGCCACAUGGAUCGCAUAAACACUCAAACACAAGCAGGAAAGUUGCACCACAUGCGCGUACUUGAAAUCAGCGCUUGAGCGCGUAUACAAGCCAAAGUGAAGAAAUAUCUGGUAAACUAAAAUGCACUAGAUGGACAUCUUUGACCGUUGAGUCCAGCUGUUUUUAAAUGAAAAGUUCUCUCAGCUCUGUAGGUCCAUAAAAUGCAAGUGAAUGGUGACCACAACUUUGAAG